rnacentral:lncRNA from 1 species
AGGAACAUCAUUACGAAUUUCUGGUGUACAAACAUCAAAGAGUGGUCAACCACAGUAUACAGUUGUUACUGUUGCUCAACCAAAACUUAUGCCAUCAAAUCAAUUAAAUAUUGGACAGGUAAUUAUGGUAAAUUCCUUUUAAACUUAUAUAAAUACCUUUAUUUUUAUAGCAAACACCUUCUCGUUUAUCGGCUAUAAAUGAUCGUUUAAAAUCUAGUGAAACCAACCAACCACAAACUCUACGUGUAGUUCAGUCACAAAUUGCCGGAAAACCUUUAUUAGUGACAAACAAAGUAAGUUAAUAUAGAGUUCUCUAAAAGUAUUGUUAAGUAUAAUUAAUGUUCAUAGGCACAAAUUUCAUCUGGUCAUACUGGUAUAUCAACAUCUCCUAACAUAGUAUCAUCAACUGUAGUGAAUUCUACAGCUAACACUUACACUGUACUGCAACAAGGCUCUCAGCAAAUACUUGUACCGGCAAAUUCGUUAAAGUCUAUUCAAGGUUUAAAAGUUAUACCACUAUCGCAACAUAGCGUUAAAGGUUUGUCAGGUUAUUCUUUUACUUGUAUUAGUUUGCAUAUUUUUGAAGUUAAAAAUGCAUUAUAGGACGUUCUCAAAUGUAUGCUCGAAUUGUAAAUCCUGAUAAUGUGAGGCCUGUGUUCAUUCAACAACCACCCAAUCAAGAUAGUAACCCAGGACCGAGUGAAUCAAAUACUUAACCCCUGAGAUAUUAGUUCCUUAUUUAUUAUUAUUUAUAUUUAUACAGUAUAUACGGUCGUUAUGCAAUUGUAAUGACUUAACUUUAUAAACCAUAAGGUUUAAUAUAACUCAAGUCUACAUAAUGUGUGUAGUCUGAUCGUUACCUACUUUUUUGUUUUAUAUUUAUAUCCUUUUUAUUUGCUUCAAUAAACUUUACUGAGAGGAUUUAUUGUUGUUUAAAGACUUGUAUAGUUAAGGAAUAUUAAGUUUUGUAAAAUAUUAGGACUUUUUCUGUUAUCUGUCACUGUUUUUCAAAAUAAUAUUUCUUAUUUUUUUACUAUUUAAAAACAUAUACAAACUUUCUUCUAUUUUAAAAAGAAUUAUAGACUUGAGUGAAAAAACAUAUAAUACACUAUUUAAUAAUAAGUAGUACAGAUAAACAAAGGGACAUUUUUUUUUAAGAUGCGAGGACACCAAAGAUUGAAUAUUUCUUCAACAGUGGGUGUAAGAUAUGCAUUUGCCAUUCUUCUAGCAAAUGAUUUCUGUUAGUUUUUCAUCUCAGAAUAAUUUUCAAUUAUUUUAACUUAAACAAAUUAAGUAUGCACAUCGAGUGAUUAGAAAUAUAUCUAAAGAAUGCCUCACUUGUAUCCUACUUAUAUUGAAAUAUAUUAACACAUUAAAAGGAUACUUAAUAUUUAAGGGGUUGUUUAUAGAAAAUUAAAUAAUUUUGCUAAACAUUUUCGAAAAAUUAAAAUUUAUUACCUGAAAAAUAUUCAAAUUUACUUUCAAAUACUUUAAUAUAAAUGUAUUUUUUACUGUUUAUGUUUUACUGUGUAAUCUUCAAAACCAUGUUAACUUUAAACAGAAAACAGUACCCUUCAAGUGAUUUUAGGGUUUUUUAAGAUAAAAAUUGUCUUUAUUGUUGAUUGAUAAUAUAUUGAUUUUCAAUUAACUUGAAUGUGAAAGUAGAUAUUCAAGAAUAAAAAAUUCCUUAGAUUAAGUGGUGCUCUUUAAUAUUUUCAAGUUCAAAAACACAUGCCAACAUCCUCUUCACAUAUUUAACAAUCAUUUCCUGAUCUUUGUUUAUCUGUCAAUGUGUCAUCAAACAAUAUAUUAUAAAACCAAAAUGGAUGUAUAUAGAAAUACUAUAUUUAAUAAUAUAAUUAAUCUAAUAUAAAUUUUUUACUAUAAUUAAAUAGGCACUUACAUGAGGUUAUUUAGAGACGUCAAUCGAAAAGUUCAUUUAUCUUAAAGAAUAUUAAAUAAAUGGAAUUUUACACACUCAAAUUAAUUUUAUACUAUUUAGGUACCCAACAUUUUGGUUUUUUAUUCUAGAAUAAUAAAUAUUAAAAUAGAAGAAUUUAAAUUAUCUGUGUAAUACAUGUUUUUAGAUAGUUAAAGAAUAAUAAAAAAAAAUAAAAAAAUAUUUUAAUAUUUUUUUACAUCUAUACCUGUUUUAACCAACGUGUUUAUAAAAAUAAAUGUUUGAAUAAUAAUUAUAGCAUAUAAACUAAUUUUAUACCAUGCAUUUUUAAAUUUUAUUUUAAGGUUAUUUUUAUUUGAUUUAAAG